rnacentral:lncRNA from 1 species
UUUUGCUCCAAAGUUCCAAUCUUCAAUCCAAAGCUUCUCCAAUUUUCCACUCUCAGCCGUGUGUUCAAACAGAAAAAGAACGUUUCCUAUUUAUAGCUUUGUUAUGCCGCCUCUGUUUCCAUUUUAAUUCCUUCGUCAGUAAGUCCUGAUCUCUUCUUCUCAUCACCGCCUUCAGCACUUGUGUUCCAAUUGUGUUGCAACUUGAAGCAAGAUAGACAAAAUCAAUAACUCUCCUUUUUUUCAAUCUCUGAGACCGCCAAACAAUCUCUCAUAGCUAGCUGUAUUCCUCUUUCCUUUCAACUUGGACAAGCUUCUUUCUUUUCAUUGGGCCUUCGUGUGCCUUUCUUUUGGUCCAUUCAUAUCUACAUAAAUAAUAUAAUAAUAUUAAGUAAUAUAUUAGUAUUAAUAAUAUAUGGUAUAUAUAAUAAUAGUUAGUAAUAAUAAAUACUUAAGUGAAGCUGGUAAUUUAUAUAAUAAUAAGUAAUUAUUAUUCUAAAAUACCACAAAAAUAUCUACAUAUAAUACACUAAAUUGGAGUUUAUCAUAUCACGUACCCAAUUGUCACUCCAAAACCGCGUAUUAGCACCAUCCCCAACCUUACGCUCUAAGACUUCUUCCAACCAAACUUUGCCUUCCACACAAUCAUCAAGAUCUCGCCAAGUCCCUCCACCAACGGGAGAAGCAAAAUUAUACUAUAUAUGAUAUAUGAUAAAUACAAAAAUACAUCAACUUAUAAGCAAUCAAAUAAUGACGAAUUUAAUAUUAAAAAAUUGAGAUAUUAGUAUAUACUACAUAUAUAUAAAAAAAAAAAUUGAAAGACAACUUUUUUUAAGACAAUUUGAAGAAAACUUAAUAUCCUCACUUUUUUAUGCAGGAAAAGAUUAGUCAAGGUUCGGCUGAAAAUUCUCAAUCAUGACUCCCAUUAUAUAAAGGGAUUGACGUUAACUGACAUCCAACACAGUAUAAAUAUGUGAUUUGAAUUCAAUUUAGAUUUUUUAGUAAUUAUUUUCUAUCACUUCCGAUGAAAAACAAAUUUUCUAUCAGUUUUCAGAUAAAAAACAAAUUA